rnacentral:rRNA from 1 species
GACGAACGCUGGCGGCGUGCUUAACACAUGCAAGUCGAACGGAAAGGCCCUGCUUUUGUGGGGUGCUCGAGUGGCGAACGGGUGAGUAACACGUGAGUAACCUGCCCUUGACUUUGGGAUAACUUCAGGAAACUGGGGCUAAUACCGGAUAGGAGCUCCUGCUGCAUGGUGGGGGUUGGAAAGUUUCGGCGGUUGGGGAUGGACUCGCGGCUUAUCAGCUUGUUGGUGGGGUAGUGGCUUACCAAGGCUUUGACGGGUAGCCGGCCUGAGAGGGUGACCGGCCACAUUGGGACUGAGAUACGGCCCAGACUCCUACGGGAGGCAGCAGUGGGGAAUAUUGCACAAUGGGCGGAAGCCUGAUGCAGCAACGCUGCGUGCGGGAUGACGGCCUUCGGGUUGUAAACCGCUUUCGCCUGUGACGAAGCGUGAGGGACGGUAAUGGGUAAAGAAGCACCGGCUAACUACGU